rnacentral:rRNA from 1 species
UACGGAGGAUACGAGCGUUAUCCGGAUUUAUUGGGUUUAAAGGGUGCGCAGGCGGCCAUUUAAGUCAGCGGUUAAAUCGUGGGGCUCAACCCCAUUCUGCCGUUGAUACUGGGUGGCUUGAUUGCGGUCGAGGUUGGCGGAAUUCGUUGUGUAGCGGUGAAAUGCAUAGAUAUGACGAAGAACACCGAUUGCGUAGGCAGCUGACCAGACCGCAAAUGAAGCUCAUGCACGAAAGUGCGGGGAUCGAACAGGAUUAGAUACCCUGGUAGUCCGCACAGUAAACGAUGAAUACUUGUUUUCGGCGAUAUAAUGUCGGAGGCAAAGCGAAAGCGAUAAGUAUUCCACCUGGGGAGUACGCCGGCAACGGUGAAACUCAAAGGAAUUGACGGGG